CAUAUUAAAUAAUAAAGUCAAAAUGUUGACUAUAAAUUGACUUUGGACUUGGUUUAAACAUGGUCAACCAAUUUUAUGGUUUAAAUAUGACCUAAUUGGGAUUAGGUUCAAUUCAAAAUAUCAAUAUUCACCCUGUUGACUAAUAACAUGAUUAGGACCCGAGCCCGACUUUAUAAGUAUCAAUUCACCUGAGCCCGAGCCUGAAUAACUCCUUAAUAAGUCAAGCCCGAGUCCGAGCCCGACUUUAUAAGAAAAAAAAUCAUUGUAAGAAAAAAAAUUAUCGAAAUCGGAACACACUAAAAAACUGAAUCAAAAUCUAAUCUGAAAACAGAAUCUGAAAAGAAAAAAUUAAAUCUAUAAAUUAAAACGAAAUCAGAGAUUAAGAAGAAAAAAAUGGAAGAAAAUUUUACUAAAAAUAAAUUGAAAUUGAUAUCCAAAUCUUGAAGAAAUCGAUUUAAGAAAUCAACAUAAAUCAAAAUCGAUUGAAAAAAAUGAAUGAUCGAUAAAAAAAACGAAACCAAUACAGUAAAGAACGAAACUGAAUCUUAGUGAGAAAAAAAUGAUUGAAAUAAAAAAUGAAUCAACAAUAAUUAAAAUCGAUUGAAUUAAUCAAAAGAAACAAAAACACAGUGAAAACAGAUUAAAACUUUAUUCCAGAAAUUUAAAGAAAUCGAUUAAAAUGAAAAGAACAAAACCGAAGACACCGGCGGUGAUUAAAAAAAAAAGAUCAUAAUACCCGAAACAGAGAAAACGAAACCGAUAAAAAAAAUGAUACCGAUGUUGUGAAUUUCAGUGAGAUCACGUACGAUUCCUUCUCUGUCGAGAAAUCCAGACGUGAUUUGAAGUCACCAGCGGUGAAUCGAUAUAUGAAUCCGACGAUGACGGCCUGAUGGAACGGUUGAUGAAGAGUCGCACCGACCUGAUUCAGAUAUCCAGCUUGAAGGAGAUGACCGCACGCCGAACUGAUUUGAGAAGGGGCCGUCGAAC
rnacentral:lncRNA from 1 species